rnacentral:rRNA from 1 species
AACGUAGGUGGCAAGCGUUGUCCGGAUUUAUUGGGCGUAAAGAGCGUGUAGGCGGCCUGAAAGGUCAGCUGUGAAAACUCGAGGCUCAACCUCGAGACGUCGGUUGAAACCAUCUGGCUAGAGUCCGGAAGAGGAGUGUGGAAUUCCCGGUGUAGCGGUGAAAUGCGCAGAUAUCGGGAAGAACACCCGUGGCGAAGGCGGCACUCUGGGACGGUACUGACGCUGA